AGAGUUUGAUCCUGGCUCAGGAUGAACGCUAGCGGCAGGCCUAACACAUGCAAGUCGAGGGGCAGCACGGUGUAGCAAUACACUGGUGGCGACCGGCGCACGGGUGCGUAACGCGUAUGCAACCUACCCAUAACAGGGGGAUAACACUGAGAAAUUGGUACUAAUACCCCAUAACAUCAGGACCGGCAUCGGUUCUGGUUGAAAACUCCGGUGGUUAUGGAUGGGCAUGCGUUGUAUUAGCUGGUUGGUGAGGUAACGGCUCACCAAGGCAACGAUACAUAGGGGGACUGAGAGGUUAACCCCCCACAUUGGUACUGAGACACGGACCAAACUCCUACGGGAGGCAGCAGUGAGGAAUAUUGGUCAAUGGACGCAAGUCUGAACCAGCCAUGCCGCGUGCAGGAAGACGGCUCUAUGAGUUGUAAACUGCUUUUGUACGAGGGUAAACGCAGAUACGUGUAUCAGCCUGAAAGUAUCGUACGAAUAAGGAUCGGCUAACUCCGUGCCAGCAGCCGCGGUAAUACGGAGGAUCCAAGCGUUAUCCGGAUUUAUUGGGUUUAAAGGGUGCGUAGGCGGUUUGAUAAGUUAGAGGUGAAAUACCGGUGCUUAACACCGGAACUGCCUCUAAUACUGUUGAACUAGAGAGUAGUUGCGGUAGGCGGAAUGUAUGGUGUAGCGGUGAAAUGCUUAGAGAUCAUACAGAACACCGAUUGCGAAGGCAGCUUACCAAACUAUAUCUGACGUUGAGGCACGAAAGCGUGGGGAGCAAACAGGAUUAGAUACCCUGGUAGUCCACGCAGUAAACGAUGAUAACUCGUUGUCGGCGAUACACAGUCGGUGACUAAGCGAAAGCGAUAAGUUAUCCACCUGGGGAGUACGUUCGCAAGAAUGAAACUCAAAGGAAUUGACGGGGGCCCGCACAAGCGGAGGAACAUGUGGUUUAAUUCGAUGAUACGCGAGGA
rnacentral:rRNA from 1 species